AUAAUAUAGCGUAUCUUUUUGUUGAUUCUUUGUGAAGUAAGGUCCUUAAUACCAGAGAUUCAGACUGUGAUUAGUGAUUUUCACAAGUAUAAUUAACUAGAAGUUGAUGGAUAGAUGCAUGAUUGUUUAAUUCAGUGGAUAAUUAGAGGAUGAUGGACCGUGUAUAGCCAGUCAAUGUGGAUGUUUUAAAACAAUUAUUAUUAUUCUGAUUUGGACUAUUGAAGAAAUUUAAUAUUGAAGUUAUCAAGAUGAAGAGGACACAGAAUCAAUUUGCUGAAUGUUUUGCCAAGUUUUUGAUUCUAUGUAUUGUAAUGGUUAUUACAGAAGGUCAAACAUACAGUUUAUCAGGAUCAGCACCAUAUGGUAUUAGAGGAGGGGAUUAUAGUUUUACAUGUCAGUUAGUUGGUGAUAAUUUUAUAACCACUGAUAUUGUCGUGUUUAACAGGAACAAUCUCCCAGUCUGUAGACAAACAUUGAAUUGUAUUCCUAGUCCAUCAUCUGAACCUAACAGAUAUACAUGUGGUUGUAUCAAUGGUAACAUGGCAACACUGUAUUUUAAUAUAACAAGUGUUACAUCAAAUGAUGACUUUAACUGGACCUGUGGAGAUAGCUUUAAUACGACCCUCAGUCCACCUUUAACCCUUCCGGUUUAUUAUGGACCAGAGAAAAUCAAAUUUACACCACCCAGUUCUAGUAUAACAGUGAUAGAAAAUAAAAAUGAAAGUAAAACGGUAAACUGUUCAGCUGACUGUAAUCCACCAUGUAAAAUCAGCUGGUAUAAAGAUUCAACUAUGAUAUCAUCUACCGGUCGUCUCUCACUGAACAACAUCCAGAGACAACAAGCUGGUAAUUACACCUGUAAGGCUCAACACAACACUAUCGUCAACAAAAAGCAGACUAAAGUAUUACACAUAGCAGUUUAUUAUGGACCAGAGGAUAUCAGAUUUACACCAACAGGCUCUCGUAUAGAAGUGAUAGAAAAUGAAAGUAGAAAUGUAACUUGUUCAGCUGACUGUAGUCCACCGUGUAAUAUCAACUGG